AUUGAACGCUGGCGGCAUGCUUUACACAUGCAAGUCGAGCGGUAACAGGCCUUCGGGUGCUGACGAGUGGCGAACGGGUGCGUAAUGCAUCGGAACGUACCCAGAGGUGGGGGAUAACGCAGCGAAAGCUGUGCUAAUACCGCAUGUGAUCUGAGGAUGAAAGCGGGGGACCGAGCAGCAAUGUUUGGCCUCGCGCCUUUGGAGCGGCCGAUGUCGGAUUAGCUAGUUGGUGGGGUAAAGGCCUACCAAGGCGACGAUCCGUAGCUGGUCUGAGAGGACGACCAGCCACACUGGGACUGAGACACGGCCCAGACUCCUACGGGAGGCAGCAGUGGGGAAUUUUGGACAAUGGGCGCAAGCCUGAUCCAGCAAUGCCGCGUGAGGGAAGAAGGCCUUCGGGUUGUAAACCGCUUUUGGCAGGAACGAAACGGUGUCCGCUAAUACCGGGCGCUAAUGACGGUACCUGCAGAAUAAGCACCGGCUAACUACGUG
rnacentral:rRNA from 1 species